GUGCAAAGAAAAUCCAGAUUAUGUGCUUAAAAUGAGUGUGAGUACACAUUAAAUGACUAAUGCAACCAAUAGCAUUGGUUUCUGACAUGCUGGAACUGCCAGUGCAUUAGCAUAUAAUCUGAGAGUGUAUGAUUAAAAAGCUCAGCAUGGAAUAUCCUACUCCAAGGCAAGGUUUUAAAUCCCGUGGGACGAAAGUGUCUUGAUUUUUCCGUGGAAUGGGAUGCCCCGCUAUCUUGUCUCGUUCGAAUAGUAGUCCCGAUCAUACAUCCCAAUAGAUAUCUUCCAUCUUUCUCCCUUUCUUCCUUUUUCUUUCUUUCUUUUUCUCUUUUCGCUUCAUUCUUUCUUUACCUCUACCUUUCUUUCUUUCCUUUCCUUUUUCUUUCUUUUUCUUCUCCCUUCCAUUUUCUUUCUUUUUCUUCUCCCUUCCUUUCUUUUUUUCAUUUUCUUCUUCUUUCCUUUCAUUUUUUUUUCUUCAUCUUUUCUUCCUUUCCUUCUUUCCUCUUUCUUCUUCUCUCCCCACAUGGAUGGGUUCAAAGUCCUAAACCCAUCUCGGUCCCAUUUUCUCAUAGAAAAGAGAUGACAUGGCUGGGAUGCCCCUUGUCCCGCUAGGACGUAAAACCUUGAUCCAAGGUAAAUAAGCGGAACUUAAAUGCACAUUCUAUCCAAAUAUAUUUGAAGCUUUAAACAGUAUAAUGUAUGUUCAGAACUCAUUAAACAUUUUUGGACAGAUUGCACCCACCACAGGCAUUUAAACAGUAUCAUGAAGCUUUAAGCAGGAUAAUGCGGUGGGACAGGGGGACAUUUGCUGACCAUUUUAACAGUAAUGAACCAACCUAAGGCCAUUUUGCAUGGCAUCAAAAGACAAUAGAUACUAUUCUUCUCUGCUGACUAAUACACCAACUUUAUCUCACAGAAUGGAUGAAAUGACUUUAUCACACCACAUAUGUACCUGAAUGUGUAUUGUACCAUAUGUAGAUACAAAAUUAUAUAUGUGAUUCCUUUGUAGAAGAAAUCUUUUAUUUAGGGUGGUGCAUCCACUUCCGAAUCUCCUUGGAAACUCAUCACAGUGCUUGCUUCCUAAGUGUUUUCUUACUAAUCUUUUUAAAGAAGACCACUUCCACAACACACUUCUGGUAACUAAGGUAAAUGCAUAAACUUAUAUGCAUAUAAUCAUAUACACACAUACAAAUUCUUAUAUACAUGGAUAUUUAUAUUUAUUUACAUACAUAUAAGUGUGCAUGUAAAUACAUGCACACAAGCAUGCACACACAUGUACCUUAAAAGAGCAUCUUUACCGGAGCUAUAUGAGCUGAAUCCAAGUAAAGAUAUAUCUGCCAAGGUAUAUCACCAUAUGCAAGAAAAAGGAAAGCAGCAGUAAUAUAUAACAAAGAAUA
rnacentral:lncRNA from 1 species